rnacentral:rRNA from 1 species
GUCAGCCGCCGCGGUAAUACCCGCAGCCCGAGUGGUGGUCGAUUUUAUUGAGUCUAAAACGUUCGUAGCCGGUCUGAUAAAUCCUUGGGUAAAUCGGGAAGCUUAACUUUCCGAAUUCCGAGGAGACUGUCAGGCUUGGGAUCGGGAGAGGUAUGAGGUACUUCAGGGGUAGGGGUAAAAUCCUGUAAUCCUUGGAGGACCACCGGUGGCGAAGGCGUCAUACUAGAACGAAUCCGACGGUGAGGGACGAAGCCCUAGGUCGCAAACGGGAUUAGAUACCCCGGUAGUCUAGGGUGUAAACGCUGCAGACUUGGUGUUGGGGGCCCUUCGGGGGCAUUCAGUGCCGGAGAGAAGUUGUUAAGUCUGCUACUUGGGGAGUACGUCCGCAAGGAUGAAACUUAAAGGAAUUGGCGGGGGAGCACCGCAAAACCGGGGAGGAGCGUGCGGUUUAAUUGGAUUCAACACCGGAAAACUCACCAAGGGAGACCAUCACAUGAAAGCCAGGCUAAUGACUUUGCUUGAUUCUUGGAGUAGAGGUGCAUGG